UACGUAGGGGGCAAGCGUUGUCCGGAUUUAUUGGGCGUAAAGAGCGUGUAGGCGGCUUGGUAGGUCAGCUGUGAAAACUCGAGGCUCAACCUCGAGAUGUCGGUUGAAACCACCUGGCUAGAGUCCGGAAGAGGAGAAUGGAAUUCCCGGUGUAGCGGUGAAAUGCGCAGAUAUCGGGAAGAACACCCGUGGCGAAGGCGGCUCUCUGGGCCGAUAUUGACGCUGAGGAGCGAAAGCGUGGGGAGCAAACAGG
rnacentral:rRNA from 1 species